AUUGGGCUGAAUUGCAAGUUCCUCAUUGAUUGGCUACUGCUGCUGUUCCAAGAUACACUUAAGGCUGAGAAAAACCGGAAGCGUCACUGCGAUACUGGUUGGGAAAUAGCGAAGCUCCGAUGAGCUUUGCAAAAACCCAGCCAGACAAACUGCUGUCGGGGGGGGGGGGUCUUCAGACUGGAACUGUCUUGGAGGGACAGGGGAGAAAGAGAGGCACCUUGGAAGACCAAGAGGAACAGGCAAGUUUCUUGAAAGGUCGGAGGCAGCUCUUUGAUCCAGCAGCAGGGGCAGCAGCCAUUGAAAUUACCAUUACAAGCUGCGGCAACUGGACUAAGAUUUGAGCAGGGGUGGUGAUUGGACAAAGUAUUGUUACUGGGUGAGUUAUUGGCUCACAGGUAAGAAAAAACUCACAGGUAAGAAGAAAAAAUCUUUAAAGCUUGAAAGAGGUCCCAACCCAAAAUAAGUGGCUAAUUGGUACUUGGGAAUUCAAAGUGAUGGGGGAAAAAAAGUAAAGCGAUUUUAAAAUUAAAGCCCUAAAAAGAAAACUUUCCACCUGGAUUUAAAAUUGGAUUUGGAAGAAAUUAAAAAUAAUAUAAGAAAAAGAAAACUGAGUAAUAGCAUUUUUUUAACACCAAAAGGAAUUAAUUGAAGAAGAGGAAGUAAUUAUCUUUGUGGAUUUACAAUUGAUACUUUGUUGCCUGAGGAUUUGUGAAUUGGAGAGAGACAUCUGCUGGUGGAAAUAAAAGGACUGCAUUAAGUUUGCUCAGUUCACCAUGGGAAACUGUUUGAGGAGUAUUUGUUUAAACAGCUGGAGCAUGAUUUCAAAAAGAAGUUGAAAGAGUAAAGACUCAAACUGGAAUGGUUUAAAUGAACAUUUGAACUGGACACUACUUGGAAAGAAAAAAGAAAAAAGAGACAUUAUAUGGACUUGAAUUUGAAUUACACAUAAGCCAAAAUAAUAAAUUAAAAAAUCCUUUCUCUUUGAAUUGAUAACAUAGAGAAUUGGGACCAUGAGUAUGAGGAACUAAGGGGGAUGUUUCAAAAGAUCCGAGAAGCAUUUAAGGGAAAUAAAAAAGUGGAGGACUGGUUAGAAUGCAAAAAAAGGAAAAAGAAAAUAUGAGCGAGAAGCAAGAAUAUAAUAUAGGAAAGAAAAUAACUGAAAAUAAAAAUAUAGAUGAUUACACUGGGUUUGACAGUUGCAGAAUAAAAAUGGAUGGGGGGAAUAUCUAUCAAAAAAGAACAGAAGAGAAGGAAAUGGGAAAAGAUUCAGUUAAUGGUUCUUGGCAGGCAAACAUGUCCUCCAAUUCAUUAAUUUCAUUUUUCUCCUUUUUUCUUUGCUGUUUCAGUAUAUCAUUAGCAUACAUGAAUACUCAAUAUUUUUGCAAAACAUUCCCAUCAGUCUUUCCUCAAAUCUCUACUCAGAUAUUCCCUAAAUGUCUGAAAAUUGGGGGAAAGAAGUGAAUUAUACACCCUCCGUGCUUUGUUUGUUCAAGUGGAGAAGUUGAAGGAGAGAUGAAUGUAGCUGGUACACAAUCCUGCAUCUUGUAUUAGUAUUGCUGGAAAGUUAUGUUCUCUAAUGAAUAAAGUAAAUCUUCCUUCAAAUUCCUGCUUGAAAACAUGAAAUCUAAAAGCCAAAACAGGGUGUUUUUUUCAUGCUUUGAAGUCUUAACCCAGAUGGACAAAAACUCAAACUUUUAUGGAUAUGCUCAUGAUUUCUGUUUUUAUCAGAUCCCAUUUCAGAUAAGAGAAUUGUUUAGGAGUUUUGAAGGGUUGGCUAAGAGAAUGCUAUAUGCAUUAAAUUCUGUGACUAAAAGCUGACCGUGUGAUGACCUGGCCGUGGCACAAAAACAACACAACCAGAGAACAGGAGGCCUUAUUAAUUCAGAAAAGCCUUGCCUGGACUGACUCUGCCCUUCCCCAGUUUCCUACAAGGCCAACGGAGCUGGCCUCUCCAUCUCUGUCAGUUCUUGUUCCAGCUCAUCUUCCCCUAGAGAGGGUCUUCUCAGGGUGCUGUCCGCCAAGCAGUGUCGGCUGGCGGCCCCCAGGGGAAGGGCCUUCUCUGUGGGAGCACCUACUUUCUGGAACGAACUUCCCUCCAGUUUACGCCAAUUGCCUGACCUUCGGACCUUUCGCCGGGAACUGAAAACUUAUUUAUUUAUCCAAGCGGGACUGGCCUGAUUUUUAAAUACUAAAUUUUUUAAAUUCUUAAAUUUUAAAUUUUAAUUGUAUUUUAUUGGGUAUUUUAUGGUCAAUUGGACGGUUUUAAUUUCGGCCUUUAUGGAAUAAGUUUUUUAAUUGUUAUUUUAGUGUGUAUAUAAAUUGUUUUAAUGUAGGCUGUACACCGCCCUGAGUCCUUCGGGAGAAAGGCGGUAUAAAAGUUUAAUUAAUUAAUUAAUUAAAUAAAUAAAUAAUAGAGAAACAUCUGUCAUGGCCUAGGAUUGAACUCUCAAUUUCCUGAGUGGGAGGUGAGCAUCUUCACCUAUAGUGUUCUGUCCCCUCCAACCACAACCAAGAAGACACAUGAACUGAUUAUAUUUGCCAGCAAUUUACUCCUACGACAGAUAUCAGUUCUGGCAACAAACCUGCUAUAGCCUGCCAAGUUCUCUUAUCUCCUCAGACCAGCGUAACUGCAGCUCAGAAAUAAACAGAAAUCCAGAAGCCAAAGUCUUAGUCUCAAAAUAUUGCAGCCAAAGUUCCCAAGAGUCAGUUUUUGUCCAUCACAAGAAGCUAUAGAGCAGUUCCUCCUGCUUUUAUACCCUGUGGGGUGUGGCUCCAUGACUCAGCACUCUCUAGGCCUGCCCCACCCCUUCUUUUGUUGUUCCCGCCUCUCCUUUCUGGGAUGCCUGGGAUUUAACCAGGACUGAUUGUCAGCAGCUGAGUCUUGAGGCGUUUCCUGGGAGGGGGAAGGUGUGGGAGAAAAAGGCCUCAUCAUCUCCUCCACCUGGCCUGCCUCUGGAUCCUGGAAUGGAGCCAGAGAGGAAGGUCCUGCAGAGGGAAGCCCUGUCGGCUCUUCCCCCUGACUCUCUGAGUCACUCUCUGCCAAAAAACCAGGCUCGGGAGCCGAAGACACGACAUAUAGGCCAUCACACCGCUCUAGUUACAAUUCUAUAUUGUCAGAAUUUCUUGCAAAAAUCAAAUCCAGAAGCACACCCAGCUGGAUUCAUUAACUUCUUUAUAUACAUAAUAAUACAUGAAAAUAAAUGCACAAUACCAACGCCAGCCAAUGCCCCAGUUUAUUUGCAUUUUCAAAAAAAAUUGUUUAGUACUUUUUAUUUGCUGUGCCAAACUUCCCUUCUCAAUAGUGUUCAGAUUAUAUUUAAUUACUUCAAUUUGUUGUUUCACAUCUUGGCUUUUUGAUUCCUUUUGUAAUUCUAUCUUAGAUCUACUAAGUUUUUCUUUUCAGACUUUUCUGUCGUUGCCUUUUUUGUUUGUUUUUCUUGGCCAUAUAGGCUAUUGCAAUACCUCUCAUAAAAGCUUUUGCCGUAUCCCAUAGAUUUUGGUUAUUCGUAUCUUUCUUAUAAUCUUGAAAGAACAGAUACAUUUGUUCUUCCAUCUUUAAUUUGAAUUCCUUAUAAUUCAAAAUUGCUCUUUUUAAAGUCCACCUCUUUAUUUUCUUCUGUCCUUUCCAUUUAAUUUUGAUAGGAUUGUGGUCUGCCCCAGAAUUUAUAUCAAUUGCAACUUCCUCAAUCCGAAUUUAGUUCUAUUGACAUCCAAGCCAUAUCAAUUCUAGACCAUGAUAGGUGUCGACCCGAGUAGUAUGUGUAUUAUUUUUCCCCAAAUUUCUCUCUCUCCAGCUAUUCUGAAUGUUCAGUUCCUCCGCCAUUUUAAAAAAGGUGUUUGUCAGCUUUGGAAGCCAUACUAGGCUGGAAGCUUCCGUGCUGCCACUUUCUCAUGUGUGGGAAAGUAGGAGGGGGGGAUUUAGUAGAGGGAUUGUCUUUAGACACAAUAGCAUUCUUCCUGUCAGUCAAGGUCAGGCUGAUCCUGCAUCUGGAGAAGGAGUGCUGUCUUGAUAUGGGACAGUUGGCAAUUAGAGCAUGUGAUUGACUGUGGAGUCAGGGGAUGGUUUUCGGGGUUUUGAUUUACUGAGGAAAAACCUGGACUUCUCAGAUUUGGGUUUUCCCAGAUGUGCCAGUUUACCUAUCCUAUUAAAUAGAACUUUGAAAGAUGCUUGCUUUGGAGUUUUUACUUGGAGUGGGGUUUUUUUUCUGGAAUGCUGACAGUGUUAGGUAGUAUUCUUCUAAUUCCUUUCCUUAUUUUAUCACUUCUAUGGUCUAGAUCUCUGUCUACUAUUGCAUUGAAAUCACCCACUAUACAAAUAUUAUCAGUUUCAAUCUCCCCUAUAAUAUUUUGUAACCCAGUGGUCCAGUUGACUGCAUCUGAAGCACUGAAUAGGUGGGCAAGUAGGUCUUGACUUGGGACUGGAACUGCAGGCGGUCUUGGCCAGUUGAUGGUCAGCUGCCUCUCAGGGAAUCUCUCAGGGAACCUCUGGCCCCAAGUCACCCUUCAGGUGGCACACCCUGAGUUUGGCAUCUAACUCGAUGGAUGCCCGGUACCACUCAUUUAGCUGAGGAGGUAGGUCCCUGUAUGCACAGGCCUGGUGCAAACUUCGAUCAAGACCUGCCUUAAACCGAUGGACCAGCAGCUGCUCCGUAAGUUGCCAGCAAGCCAGCGGAACUCCUGGACAUAGUCUGGUGCCAGUCGGGCCCUCUGUUUUAGUGCCAUAAUCUCCCCUUCAGCCUGCUGGGCCUGGGUCACAUCCUCUGGGCACUGGGUAAUCAACUGAGUGGCAUUGCCCGAUUCACCAGGCCUGGGAAUGGAGGGCUGUGUGGGGAGUAUCCGUGAUUGGGGUCUUCCUGCUCUUUUUUGAUAUCCUCAAAAAUGAGAAUUUGAUAUCCUCAAAAAGUGAGGGACAUGCCCGAGCAACAUUCCUGUGCCAAUAAAAUCUUCCCUUCCCCUGUGGAAAGAUCAGGCUCUGCCAGUUGGCCUUGGGGUGCCCGGAUGGGAAUAUCAAGCAAUUUCUCCCUUGCUGGGCGUUAGCCAAGGGGAAGCAGCAAAAUCUUGUUCUUUUGGAGCAAAACAGCCUGUCAGGCUGUCUCUGAUUAUAUUUAGGAAAGAAUACACCUUGACUUCAUUUGAAAAUAAAGAAAAGUACUUUUACUAAAUACAUCCGGAUUUAAAGUUGGAUCUGAGACAGAAUAUGGCUAACAUCCCAUAUCCCCUCGUUAGUCCCUCCUUCCCACAAAAGGUCAGGCAGGCCUGGUCCAAUGCCAGCUCCUUCUCACCCCCCCGUGGUAAGCUUCUUCCGAAGGUUUCCGGCAGUUUAUUAUCUCAGGAGUGCAGGGUUCGUUGGAAAGCCCGCAUGUCUGGCGUUUAUGCUGAUUCAAACAUUUACUGCCCCCUCCCCUCCUUUUAUGUCAGAUGACACUCUUAAAGGGCCCUCUUCUGUUAAUCUGAAUAGGAUAGUAUAGGAUAGUGUACAUCUUAGGUUCAUGGCUAUUUUACAUUAACAUACUGACACUGCAAUCUAACUACUGAAUACAAAUUGCACACAUAUAACACAAAUAGAGUGAAGCUUGGAGUGGAGGCUGACACAGCCUCUACAGCUACAUUGCUGGCAUUGGCUUGUAUGACCAACUGUUUAUCUGGAUCUGGAUGUUUUAAUACUGGUUCGGCUAAGAAAAGUUGUUUAAGUGUUUCAAAUGCCGCUUGGCAUUCCAUUGUCCAGUUUAGUUGUUGCCUAGAUUUUGGUUUGUUUUAAGCAGGUUAGUAAUAGGGAGGGUGAUAUUUGCAAAAGCUGGGAUAAAUUGGUGGUAAAAGUUUGCAAAUCCCAAGAAGCUUUGUUGGUGUUUGUUUGUGCGAGGUGUUGACCAUGGCUUGCACUUGUUUUUUAAAAAUGCUUUUAUUAUACAGUUUUAUUUGUUUUACAUUACAGUUUCCGCUUUGCAACAGCUCUAUACCGGCUUAUAUCCACAGUUUUUUACAUUUAUAUAUACCAUUAUGUUUAUAUUAUAUAUUUAUCAUUGUAAAUAUUUUUUACAUUUUUUGUAACAUCUUACUGUGAUCUAAUAUUUAUAUAACAAAUAUUCUUCAUCCUUCUUUAUACUUGUACUUAUUUUUGAUUUUUAUUUCAUUAAUCAUCUUUCAUUUUUAAUUUUCUAAUCUUUGCAUAUACUCUCAAGCCAAUUACACCAUAUACCCCAAAUUAAAUAAUGUUCUAUUGACCUGUGGCACAAUCCAUGCUUUGCCAUGCCAUCUCUUCCUCCUGCUUUGCUACUCCAUCUCUUCCUCCUCACCAGCAGCAUCCACUUGGCCAAUCUCCCUGCAAACUCGGCUGACGCUUCCACACCUCCAUGCAUUUCCUUUCCUUCCUC